rnacentral:sRNA from 1 species
AAGGGCUAACCAUUUUACCUUUCCCCCCCAGGACCCUCAGGGGCGGCACGUAAAAACCUAUGAGGUGUCUCUCCGAGAAAAGGAAUUCAAUAAGGGCCCUUGGAAACAGGAAAAUGUCGAAGCUGAAGCUUCCAUGGUGAUCGCAGUCCCAGAGCCCUUUGGGGGGGCCAUCAUCAUUGGACAGGAGUCAAUCACCUAUCACAAUGGUGACAAAUACCUGGCUAUUGCCCCUCCUAUCAUCAAGCAAAGCACGAUUGUGUGCCACAAUCGAGUGGACCCUAAUGGCUCAAGAUACCUGCUGGGAGACAUGGAAGGCCGGCUCUUCAUGCUGCUUUUGGAGAAGGAGGAACAGAUGGAUGGCACCGUCACUCUCAAGGAUCUCCGUGUAGAACUCCUUGGAGAGACCUCUAUUGCUGAGUGCUUGACAUACCUUGAUAAUGGUGUUGUGUUUGUCGGGUCUCGCCUGGGUGACUCCCAGCUUGUGAAGCUCAACGUUGACAGUAAUGAACAAGGCUCCUAUGUAGUGGCCAUGGAAACCUUUACCAACUUAGGACCCAUUGUCGAUAUGUGCGUGGUGGACCUGGAGAGGCAGGGGCAGGGGCAGCUGGUCACUUGCUCUGGGGCUUUCAAGGAAGGUUCUUUGCGGAUCAUCCGGAAUGGAAUUGGAAUCCACGAGCAUGCCAGCAUUGACUUACCAGGCAUCAAAGGAUUAUGGCCACUGCGGUCUGACCCUAAUCGUGAGACUGAUGACACUUUGGUGCUCUCUUUUGUGGGCCAGACAAGAGUUCUCAUGUUAAAUGGAGAGGAGGUAGAAGAAACCGAACUGAUGGGUUUCGUGGAUGAUCAGCAGACUUUCUUCUGUGGCAACGUGGCUCAUCAGCAGCUUAUCCAGGUGA